GGAUACAAAACGAGCAUUGUAAUGGUCUUUGGCUGGAUGUGUGAUGAUCUCCCCACCUCUUGAUAACAUGGAAGAAAGUGAGGUCCAAGUUUACUCGGUCUCCCAUCGCAGGCGCCAUGAGACAGACUCCACAUCAAAGUCGAGAAAAAAAACAACACUCCCCGGCCGACCUGUUGCAACACACACCUGAGAAAAAAAAGCAAAUUGAUUACUCCUUAACCUGCAACGCUAACCAAGCCUGCAGGGAGACGUUGCUCUUAGCUGUGUCUGCCUCAGCGCCUUUGCCACCCAAAGCUUGGAGACAGUUUUAAUUGCAACACGACGACCACAAGAAAAGCCCAGAAUCCCCAUAAAAGCACAGCAAAGCUGGCUGCAGGCCCACUGAGGAGCGCAAGCCACACCGUAAUUACAGGGGUUGGAGUCAGAGUGCAGGGUCAGCCAUGAUGCAGUGCCCCUGGAGCAGGGUGGGUUGAAGGCCUUGUACAAGGGCCCAGUGGUGGCAGCGUGGAAGUGCUGGGGCUGGGGCUUCCAGCCAACAAUCCAGAGCCUUAACCACUUGAGCUACCGUUUAUUUCAUAAUGCUUGUAUUUCAAAUAUCAGAAAGCUCUGACACUGGAAACUUACUUAAAUGCUGAAUAAAUGUCUCCACCCAGAAAACUAGUAUAUCAACACAUUUUUGUAAUCUACUUGUGUGGAGCAUCGGCUAUACGAAUCCCUGUUUAAGUUGUAAUUAUAGAAACCUAAUAUUUUAAAAUGUGAUAUUUUUAUGAAAAUGGUCAACGUGAUUCCUGGAUAAUUGUUUAACUGAGUCUUCCUAGCAAUGGUUCCCAAUCCCCUCUCCAAGACUUCUAUUUAUUCAUUUAGUUUACAUCUUCUAUACCGUGUCCUAAGU